CGGCCUUCAUCGACAUCAGUGAAGAAGAUCAGCUGCUGAGCUUCGUGCUUAUCUGAAAUCUAAAGGAGCUGAGAUUUCAGAAGAGAACUCGGAAGGUGGACUUCAUGUUGAUUUAGCUCAAAUUAUUGAAGCCUGUGAUGUGUGUCUGAAGGAGGAUGAUAAAGUGUUGAAAGUGUGAUGAACAGUGUGGUAUCCCUACUCUUGAUCCUGGAACCAGACAAGCAAGAAGCUUUGAUUGAAAGCCUAUGUGAAAAGCUGGUCAAAUUUCGCGAAGGUGAACGCCCGUCUCUGAGACUGCAGUUUUAAGCAACCUUUUCCACGGGAUGGAUAAGAAUACUCCUGUAAGAUACACAGUGUAUUGCAGCCUUAUUAAAGUGGCAGCAUCUUGUGGGGCCAUCCAGUAC
rnacentral:lncRNA from 1 species